UAGGGAAUCUUCCGCAAUGGGCGAAAGCCUGACGGAGCAACGCCGCGUGAGUGAUGAAGGUCUUCGGAUCGUAAAACUCUGUUAUUAGGGAAGAACAUAUGUGUAAGCAACUGUGCACAUCUUGACGGUACCUUAUCAGAAAGCCACGGCUAACUACGUGCCAGCAGCCGCGGUAAUACGUAGGUGGCAAGCGUUAUCCGGAAUUAUUGGGCGUAAAGCGCGCGUAGGCGGUUUUUUAAGUCUGAUGUGAAAGCCCACGGCUCAACCGUGGAGGGUCAUUGGAAACUGGAAAACUUGAGUGCAGAAGAGGAAAGUGGAAUUCCAUGUGUAGCGGUGAAAUGCGCAGAGAUAUGGAGGAACACCAGUGGCGAAGGCGACUUUCUGGUCUGUAACUGACGCUGAUGUGCGAAAGCGUGGGGAUCAAACAGGAUUAGAUACCCUGGUAGUCCACGCCGUAAACGAUGAGUGCUAAGUGUUAGGGGGUUUCCGCCCCUUAGUGCUGCAGCUAACGCAUUAAGCACUCCGCCUGGGGAGUACGACCGCAAGGUUG
rnacentral:rRNA from 1 species